rnacentral:rRNA from 1 species
UACGGGGGGGGCAAGCGUUGUUCGGAAUUACUGGGCGUAAAGGGCUCGUAGGUGGCCAACUAAGUCAGACGUGAAAUCCCUCAGCUUAACUGGGGAACUGCGUCUGAUACUGGAUGGCUUGAGUUUGGGAGAGGGAUGCGGAAUUCCAGGUGUAGCGGUGAAAUGCGUAGAUAUCUAGCGGAACGCCGAAGGUGAAGACAGCCCGCUGGGCGUUUCCUGACGCUGAGGCACGAAAGCGUGGGUAGCAAACAGG